GCCACGCCGGCCCCUCGCCGGCCCGCUUCCUUCCUUCCCCCUACCCCCACCCUUGGCCCUUUUUAAACUCGAUAGCCUUCUUCCAAAGCAGUGCCUAAACAAGUUUAACCAAAAAAAAAAACAACAAAGAAAGACUCCACUAAUAUAUUAAUAAACGCCAUCGCUCCGACAGUGUUUGUGUAUGCAGAGCUCCCACAGCGCCGCGCCGGGAGCGCCCGGCCCGUCCCAUUCCGUCCCGUCCCAUCCCCACACCGUGUCACCCAUCAGCCCAUCAAUGAUCCCAGCCAUCCCAGUGGUCCCAGCGAUCCCCCAGUCCCGGCCAUCCCACCCAACACAGUGACGCCACCCAUCCCACCAGCGCCGCCAUCACAGUGACCCCACUAAUGCCACCGGCGAGCCCGCCCAUCCCACCAGUCAUCCCAGUCAUCCCACCCAUCGUCCAAUGAUCCCAUCCAUCCCAGUGGCGCCAUCGAUCCCAGUGAUCCCACACGUCAUCCAAUGAUGCCGUCCAUCCCAGCGACCCCACCCAUCGUUCAGUGAUCCCACCCAUCCCAGUGAUCCCAGCGAUCCCACCCACCAUUCGGUGAUCCCAUCCAUCCCCGCGAUCCCACCCAUCCCACCAAUGAUCCCCUCCAUCCCAGUGAUCCCAUCCAUCAUUCAGUGGUCCCAUCCAUCCCAGUGAUCCAAUCCGUCAUCCAAUGAUCCCCUCCAUCCCAGUGAUCCCAUCCACCAUCCAAUGAUCCCAUCCAUCCCAGCGAUCCCACCUAUCAUUCCAUGAUCCCAUCCAUCCCAAUACCACCAUCUCACUGACCCCACUGAUGCCACCAGCGAGCCUGCCCAUCCCACCAGUCAUCCCAGUCAUCCCAGUCAUCCCACCCAUCGUCCAAUGAUCCCAUCCUUCCCACGGAUCCCAUCCAUCAUCCAGUGAUCCCAUCCAUCCCCCGAUCUCACCUAUCAUUCCAUGAUCCCAUCCAUCCCAAUACCACCAUCUCACUGACCCCACUGAUGCCACCAGCGAGCCCACCCAUCCCACCAGUCAUCCCAGUCAUCCCACCCAUCGUCCAAUGAUCCCA
rnacentral:lncRNA from 1 species